AAUUGCCUGUCAAACAAAGCAUAAAGAGACAAAAGGCAGAAACACUGUUUCAGCUUGAAUGCCUUAAUGUCACCAUUUGUCAUGCAGCAGUUCUUCAGCAAACCCCGAAGUACAGUUAACUCUACUCCUCCUUACACUGCACACUUUCUCCUGCGUUGGUACUACAGGAUUAAAAUGUGCAGGGCCUGACAAUGAAACAGCAGAGCCAUCGCACAUUGUUAUGCAACUCACUGUCUGCAAGGGUGGUUUGUAGCUCCUUCUUUAUUCAGCAAGUGCCAACUGCAUGUUUAAUCAAUGUCACAGCUCACCACAGUGUGCAACUAAAGCCACUGUCAUUCCUCUCUUCAGAUUUGCCUGGCUAAGUUAUGCAAUGCUCCGAAGAAUACCUUGGAAUUCUUUCCGGAGGCUCUGAAUGCAGGUGUGUGGCAGCGUUCACACAACUGCCAGUGAAGCAGACUUCUUUUCAUCCUUUUUCAGACUGGACUAAAAUUACAUAGUGUGACUGCUCGCAGUUCGCUGCAUUUGGAAUUACAGCGUGUCAACGUGAGAAAGCCUCUUCAGACGGCUGCCACAGAGUAAAUCAAAGGCUGGCUUUUUCUGAAGUCUUAAUAAAUAACUAAGUACAACUGAACAAACCCAGCAGCUGUUUGGGGUUUUUUUUUGUGGGGUUUGAUUUUUUUCUCCCCAAAACAAAACCGAACAGCAUGCAUCAAACUGCUCUGCAUCAUCUAAGGAAAAAAAAAAAUCCUCAGUUAUAGUAAGAAUUAGUCAACAGUGAGGAUCAUUACCAGAAAGGGGUUUACUGUUUUUCGACUACACUUGCUUUAGUGGAUUACCGAGAGAGAAGGCCAGUCAUUUGGAAGAUUCUAUAACAUUAUUAUCCUCACCGAUAAACUUCAUCAAGGAACUGUUCAUGCUCCUGUCUGGUCUGUCUGCGUGAGGAGAGCAGCCUCUUCAUGAAGAUAAAAGCCUGGUUUGCCACUGAAUCAACGAGUAAGAAGCAUGUCUGAUGACAUUUUAUUCCUGAUGCAAUGUAGGCUAGCUGCCAGAAUACUGGUGAAGGUAUUUGCAGGAAAAAUGGGGACCUCUGCCAUCACAACGCUGGAAGAUGUAAAAAGGCAAGAAGAGAAAGAGGAAAAAGAAGAAUCUAUUUUAGCCCUGCUUGGGAUUAUUGGAACUGUGCUCAAUUUAUUUGUUAUUGUUUUUGUGUACAUCUACACCACACUUUGAUGACAUUUUUGAACAUCAAUUGCACAGCACACGUGCAAAGACCAGCGAUGGUAAGAAUGAAUUUUAAAUAUUUAAAACAAAACCCCACCACUGUCUGAAAAGAUUAUCAAAACCAUUCCAGAGCAAAGUGUGUGUCUAAGGGCGCUGCUUCAGUGACUGCUACACGCAUCUGCGAGCCCAGCUAGGGUGCUAAAUUACGUAAAUGAAGGCAGAUGAUAUUCAACUUCUCAUUGAUAACAGAUGAAAUCCAAAUAACAGAAACAGAGAUGGAACUGUUUGAUUGUCAGCAAACAAGCAAGAAAUGUAAGCACUGAAAGCAAUGAAAACAUAGAAAGAGAUGAAUCAAAUAUAUAAGUACAAAUAAGCAAGCCCCAUGAUGCUUUCUAUGGUUUUGUGCAACAUGUCUCUUCAUAGCUGAGACCAGAAAAUGGACAAAAAGGUUUUCUUUUUAGAUUACUAUAAUUUUGGCUCAUAAUUUACACUGAUGUAUAAUAAGUGUGGAAACAAGAAUACUGUUACACCAAAAACUGUAAUAUUACAAAUAAAAUUUUAACUAUUGACUAUAUUCCAUAGCAUUUUUAUUAGUCUUGUGGAAAGCUAAAGGUUAGAUUUUCUUGUCUUUCCCGAAUCUGUAUUUGAAACCAUCAUGCUAUAUUGACAAUGUGCUUUCCUAAUUAAAAAUCCUUUAAAGUGCUGUGAAAAAAUAAAGAAUAGUUUCAGUA